rnacentral:rRNA from 1 species
CCUACGGGAGGCUGCAGUGGGGAAUAUUGCACAAUGGGGGAAACCCUGAUGCAGCGAUGCCGCGUGGAGGAAGAAGGUUUUCGGAUUUUAAACUCCCUUUAUCAGGGACGAUAAUGACGGUACCUGAAAAAAAAGCUCCGGCUAACUACGUGCCAGCAGCCGCGGUAAUACGUAGGGAGCGAGCGUUGUCCGGAAUUACGGGGUGUAAAGGGAGCGUAGGCGGGACGGCAAGUCAGAUGUGAAAACUGAGGGCUCAACUUUCAGACUGCAUUUGAAACUGCUGGUCGUGAGUGAGGUAGAGGUAAGCGGAAGUCCUAGUGUAGCGGUGAAAUGCGUAGAUAUUAGGAGGAACAUCGGUGGCGAAGGCGGCUUACUGGGCUUUUACUGACGCUGAGGCUCGAAAGCGGGGGGAGCAAACAGGAUUAGAUACCCUUGUAGUC